UUCAUGGACCGACUGCCUUCCUGUGGCCGAUUUCCUUCCCCGGCACCCGGGAGGAUUUAGGGAGUGGACAAAGAAAACCUGGUCUCCUUGUAAAACCGUUAUGUCAGUAUUGCCCUCCCAAUAAAUGACGCUAUUAUGAAUGGUGAAUGGGAACGACAGUUUCCCCAAAUCAGCAACUCCGGUUUAUGGCCGACGUAUCGAAAAUGUCAGCGGGAACGUCAGCGGGACCGGCUCCUCACUACUCAUCCUUUGUCGGUGGCCUUGUGAACGUGGGUUUUGGAUGGAGAAAUGGGAUUGUUUCCUAAUUGAAAACUGAGCACAUUAUUCUGCCUUUCUGAUUGCAGUUCUAAAUGCGUAAUUUAGCACAUUGUUAAAGUGCUCUUGCAGAUGUCUCAAAAGGGCUUUUCAGUCACUUGAGUGACUUUGUUCAUCUUCAGUCCUCAAAUAAGCAUUGCAUCAUUGGCUCUUGGGUCCUUAACAACUUGAAGCCCGGAAAAGUAGCACUUCUCAUUUCCUAAUCAGGAAAGUAAAGUUCGGUUAUUUUGUCACCCCA